rnacentral:rRNA from 1 species
UACGUAGGGCGCAAGCGUUGUCCGGAAUUAUUGGGCGUAAAGAGCUCGUAGGCGGCUUGUCACGUCGGGUGUGAAAGCCCGGGGCUUAACCCCGGGUCUGCAUUCGAUACGGGCUGGCUAGAGUGUGGUAGGGGAGAUCGGAAUUCCUGGUGUAGCGGUGAAAUGCGCAGAUAUCAAGAGGAACACCUGAGGCGAAGGCGGGUUGCUAGGCUGACACUGACGCUGAGGCGCGAAAGCCAGGGGAGCAAACGGG